CCGGCUAACUACGUGCCAGCAGCCGCGGUAAUACGUAGGGCGCAAGCGUUAUCCGGAAUUAUUGGGCGUAAAGAGCUCGUAGGCGGUUUGUCGCGUCUGCUGUGAAAACUGGAGGCUCAACCUCCAGCCUGCAGUGGGUACGGGCAGACUAGAGUGCGGUAGAGGAGAUUGGAAUUCCUGGUGUAGCGGUGGAAUGCGCAGAUAUCAGGAGGAACACCGAUGGCGAAGGCAGGUCUCUGGGCUGUAACUGACGCUGAGGAGCGAAAGCAUGGGGAGCGAACAGGAUUAGAUACCCUGGUAGUCCAUGCCGUAAACG
rnacentral:rRNA from 1 species